rnacentral:lncRNA from 1 species
GUAAGUUUUUGAUUGAAAAGUUGAAUGAAUUUCACAAAGUCUGCGUAGAAAGAUAAAUAAAAAUUGGUUUACUAAUCCUAAUUGUCUUGGUUUAAUUUAAAUGAAAUCAAAUUACACUGAAAUAAAAUUAAACCAACAUGCUGGUUUAUCUUGGUUCUCCUCUUCUGAUUUAAGCCCCACGGAUUUGGCUAUAAGUGUUGAAGGCUCUUCUCUUGUGCUCUCAGUCUUGAUCUAGUUACUGGUCCACUCCACAAGCUGGCUAGCUCAUUUGUUUCUUCUCUGCUCAAGUCUGGCUCUUCUCUGCUCAAGUCUGGCUCUCCCUCGUCUGACUCACUCAGCUCUCCAAUGUCUCUACUCAUGGC